GACGAACGCUGGCGGCGUGCUUAACACAUGCAAGUCGAGCGGUAAGGCCCUUUCGGGGGUACACGAGCGGCGAACGGGUGAGUAACACGUGGGUGACCUGCCCUCAGCUCUGGGAUAAGCCUGGGAAACCGGGUCUAAUACCGGAUAUGACUCCAUGACGCAUGUUGUGGGGUGGAAAGCCUUGUGCGGCUGAGGAUGGGCCCGCGGCCUAUCAGCUUGUUGGUGGGGUGAUGGCCUACCAAGGCGACGACGGGUAGCCGGCCUGAGAGGGCGACCGGCCACACUGGGACUGAGAUACGGCCCAGACUCCUACGGGAGGCAGCAGUGGGGAAUCUUGCGCAAUGGGCGAAAGCCUGACGCAGCGAUGCCGCGUGAGGGAUGACGGCCU
rnacentral:rRNA from 1 species